rnacentral:lncRNA from 1 species
UCAAAUAAUAACUGUCACUCUUUUUACCAGCCUGCUGGCAUCCAUAGAGGUUCAUAGGAACCCUUUCCUUUAACAUUCUCCAUUAUAGGCUGUCCCCAUACCCCGUCCGGUAUGAGCGCCAAAUUAUAAAACCUCAAUACCCUGUCUGGUAUGAGGGUGAAGUAGGCCGUCCCAUACCCCGUCCAGUAUUUGUGCCAAAUUAUCAAGUCUCGAUACCCCGUCUAGCAUGAGACAACGUUCACAAUAGGGUUCCCUAUGUACCUAGUCUGUCCACCAUCUCCCAGGAUAUCCAGUAAGGCUGCCGUUUCAUCCAU